GCUGACAAGGCCAUGCAGAAUUCCCAUGUGAAGACAGAACAUAGCCUCCAGGUCCAAGUUCUGCAGGUGGAAAUGAAGGUGCACCAGGAGGCUUGUCUUGGAAGAGAUUCCAGACCCUGUCAAACUGACAGGAACCAUCACACUUCUCUCGAUUACAAUUAAUGGAUUCUGUGUGGUUCUAACUGAUGGCUAAAGGGUAAUUUUAGAUGACUGCAUUGAAUUUUGGCCCUUCAAUCCUACCAUCUGCUUUC